rnacentral:lncRNA from 1 species
UGGCCUUCACAUAAACGACAGACAUAAUAUAUCUCACUUCAGCGAUGCAGUCAUGCGAGUCUCCAGAAUAUUCUCCUCCUACAUAUAGACCUUGUGUGAGACGAUCUAUGCCUCUUCCUAAAUCCUCACAUGCCCAGUGCAUUUCUAUGUGAAAUUUCCAAGUGAACAAAAAUGCAUAUGUAGCUUGAGGAAUAUAGCCUCUGGCUCACGGUUAUCUCUGCCUCAUGUUUUUGCUUCUUAUGAUUAUAAGCCAAAAAUUAAAUUUUCAUCUAUAAGUUUGGAGUUGAUUUUAAGGUUUACCUAACUUAGGCCGCCUUCGUUCGUGCUGUAAG